rnacentral:rRNA from 1 species
UUGAUUCUUCGGAUGAAGUCUUUUGUGACUGAGUGGCGGACGGGUGAGUAACGCGUGGGUAACCUGCCUCAUACAGGGGGAUAACAGUUAGAAAUGACUGCUAAUACCGCAUAAGCGCACAGGGUCGCAUGACCUAGUGUGAAAAACUCCGGUGGUAUGAGAUGGACCCGCGUCUGAUUAGCUAGUUGGCGAGGUAACGGCCCACCAAGGCGACGAUCCAUAGCCGACCUGAGAGGAAGGUCCCCACAUUGGAACUGAGACACGGUCCAAACUCC